rnacentral:lncRNA from 1 species
UGGACAGAGGGUAGGUUUAGCACAUCAAACUCAUAAAAACCAUAGAGAAUUUAUAUAGCUCAUAAUAUAGAAAAUAUGAAUUUUCUGUGUUGCACAAGCAAACCUAAACAAAAGAAAAGAGAGAAAAGAGUGGAGAUUUCCAAUGUAGACUCUUCUGAUUCAGAGUCAAGUGUAGGAUGGAGAGAAUUCUCGUAUUUCAGAAUGGAGCUAGUGAUCCCGAAUGCUGGCAAAGAACAAGAUUUCAGAGGUUUUUUUACUAGAAAAAAUAUGGAAGAACUCAAGAUUACUAAGAAAGGCAAAGUAUUGAUAGUGGAAGGCAAAAGUGACGAAGAUGUUGAAUCAGAGUUUGCAGAUACAUUUGGGGGUGACUUCAUCCAGAGACAAAAUAGAUCUAAAAGUGCAGAGAUGAGAAGAAUAACUUUUGAAUAAGAUAUUAGUUAUCAUUAUAAGAGCAAUAAUUAAUUUUAAAUAGAAUAAGC